UACGUAGGUGGCAAGCGUUGUCCGGAAUUAUUGGGCGUAAAGCGCGCGCAGGCGGUCCUUUAAGUCUGAUGUGAAAGCCCACGGCUCAACCGUGGAGGGUCAUUGGAAACUGGGGGACUUGAGUGCAGAAGAGGAAAGCGGAAUUCCACGUGUAGCGGUGAAAUGACGUAGAUAUCGGAAGGAACAUCAGUGGCGAAGGCGACUUCCUGGACCAAUACUGACGCUCAGGUGCGAAAGCGUGGGGAGCAAACAGGAUUAGAAACC
rnacentral:rRNA from 1 species